rnacentral:rRNA from 1 species
CCUACGGGAGGCAGCAGUCGGGAAUUUUGCGCAAUGGAGGAAACUCUGACGCAGUGACGCCGCGUGCAGGAUGAAGGUUUUCGGAUUGUAAACUGCUUUAGACAGGGAAGAAAAAAGACAGUACCUGUAGAAUAAGCUCCGGCUAACUACGUGCCAGCAGCCGCGGUAAU